UAGGUGAAAAGUGUCCUUUCUGGCCCGAUUGCACCUACCUCCGCAGUAAUAUCCCGGCCAAACGAGCCGCUGUGAGGAGAGCGAAGGUGCCGGGCUGAUAAGAGAGUAGAUGUGCAAUGUCCUUUAGAGGAGCGGGGAAGAAUCCUCCCGGGAAAUCCUGAAGUUCCUCGCAGGAAUUUAUCGACACCAGGCAGCAAGGCAGCUUGCUCCCGUGCUGCGUUCCCGGGGCGGGACGCAGCCUCUGCGGUCAUUUUCCCGUGAGGACUACCCUCCGCCUUUCGGGAGAAGCCUACAAAACAGAUGUGAAGGAGAGUUCCAGCAGUCAUCCUAGGCCAUGAGGGGACCCUGAGGAUGGAAGCUACACGUUGGAGGCCACAAGAAAGUGUCUGAAUCAUUGACAGCUUAAAGGAACAGCCACACCACUUCUGAUCGUCCUUCUUUGGGCUCUCUUUAACAUUGGAGAAUAACCCCCUGUGAGCUUAGGCCACUAUGAUGAAGUCAUCUGCGCCUGAUACUGAAUGCAGUUUCUAAAUGACACCUAGUUCUCUCCCACCCCUUCCGCUUAACUUUAUAUUGUAGAUAUUUUCCCUGUUAGCACAUUGAAAAAUCUGUAUUCUUCCUCAUGAUUAAAUAUUCCCGCAUAAGGAUUUACUCAGUCCCUUAUUGA